CAUCAGAUAAGCGUGCUGCUCCAAUUGUCAGUGAAGUUCUUCUCCAAAUGUCUGAAUUUAAAUUCCCAUCAGUAACUUUCAGUCUAGAUCGAUGGAGCACUGGAGCGACAGUAAUAUGUCUGUUUUAGAGACUUUGCAGUUCAAAAUUGAUGUUACAUUAAAUCGGAUACGGGAUACCAGCUCACCUAUGUGUACCAAAAAAAUUUGGUUUUCUUUCAAAUCCAUAUUGUUCUAUGGAGGUGUAUAAUGGUCCUCAGCCUAUUCUGACAACAUGUGAGAAAUUUAAAUGCACUGCUUGGACAAACGAUGCCAAGAAGCUGCCAAGAGGUUAAUGACUGCUCUGUUGAGCAAAUCACCAGAGAGAAUUAUACUUGAUGGAGACUAUACAUCAACGGAUCUUAGAACAACAUAGAUACUUAUCGAUGUGGUUAUCUCGGAUAGGAAUGAAAAUGGGGAUAUGCCAACUAAGAACAAGCAAGUAGAACUGUCAAUGGCAACUUGGCUCCACGGCUUAACAUCAUUUGGCGAAGCAAGUGUUCGGAUUCAUUUUGAUGGAAUGAUUCUGGCGACUUGAGUUAACAGCUCACUAUCAUCUACUGAAAGCAGAAGUUCACGUGUUGAUUUUGCCGGAGUGACUGCAGUUUCAUUGGCAGCUCUGGCUUUUGUUUCAUUGACUCUCUAGAUGCCUGUUCUUGGAGUUUAGGAAAGUGUUGUGUGUUUUCGACAAUAUUGUCCACAGUGUUGGCAGGUACCAGAAUCCUGAGACAAAUUAAAGAAUAAGUAACGGUCCAGUAUGCCUUUUUCACAUGUUA